rnacentral:rRNA from 1 species
GUCCACGCCGUAAACGAUGUCAACUAGCCGUUGGGGAACUUGAUUCUUUAGUGGCGCAGCUAACGCACUAAGUUGACCGCCUGGGGAGUACGGCCGCAAGGUUAAAACUCAAAUGAAUUGACGGGGGCCCGCACAAGCGGUGGAGCAUGUGGUUUAAUUCGAUGCAACGCGAAAAACCUUACCACCCCUUGACAUCCUGCGAAGUUACCAGAGAUGGUUUCGUGCCUUCGGGAGCGCAGAGAC